rnacentral:rRNA from 1 species
CCUACGGGUGGCAGCAGUGAGGAAUAUUGGUCAAUGGACGAGAGUCUGAACCAGCCAAGUCGCGUGAAGGAUGACUGCCCUAUGGGUUGUAAACUUCUUUUAUAUGGGAAUAAAAUGUUCCACGUGUGGGAUUUUGUAUGUACCAUAUGAAUAAGGAUCGGCUAACUCCGUGCCAGCAGCCGCGGUAAUACGGAGGAUCCGAGCGUUAUCCGGAUUUAUUGUGUUUAAAGGGAGCGUAGGUGGAUUGUUAAGUCAGUUGUGAAAGCUUGCGGCUCAACCGUAAAAUUGCAGUUGAGACUGGCAGUCUAGAGUACAGUAGAGGUGGGCGGAAUUCGUGGUGUAGCAGUGAAAUGCUUAGAUAUCACGAAGAACUCCGAUUGCGAAGGCAGCUCACUGGACUGCAACUGACACUGAGGCACGAAAGUGUGGGUAUCAAACAGGAUUAGAUACCCGUGUAGUC